rnacentral:lncRNA from 1 species
UGGAAGUGGAGAGGUCAUUUACAUUUUCGUUCAUUCCUUAUCAGUGAAGUCAUUGACUAAUUGUCUUGAAUUUCAUGGAUAUUACAACGAGUACUGUGUUGCAUUAGUUGAGUUCUUUUUUUUUUUUUUCUUUUUUUUUUUUUUUUUUUAAAGUUGAGUCCUUGAAAUAAGUAUUUUGUUUUUUUUAUAUGGCAUAUAUCCAAAUUAAAGUUUCAGUAUUAAGUAUGUCUUGGUAGAUUCUUCUGGUUUAGUUUUAUUUCGCUACUAAUUUUAUUGUCACAUAGUGCCUUAGUUUUAGAUCAUAGGUGUUUAGCUCUAAGGUUUGUAUCUAUUUGACUAGAUGUUGAUGGACUAAAAUUUGAAGGUUUGGGAUAUUUAAUUUGAAAUGGUUGAAGUGUUUCCCGUUUGUUCCCUACUGUUAGACCCUUGACAAAGCUGAUCGGCAAGCGGCACGGUAGUAGUAAGGAUUUGGCAUGAUGGCCUUGCCAUUGGCCUAUGUGCGGGGGAAAUCAACAUGCAAGACAAUGUGGGUGUUGUCAAUGGCAACAAACUGUUGCAAGGGCAAGUGUGACGGACUACACUUCUAUUUGACGGCUAUGGUAUGACGGACUACACCAAAACAUGAGUGGGUUGCGUGCAAGCAAAGGCCAAGACCUUGACGGAACUAGGCAGGCUGGACGGAAGCUUGACAAGGCAAAACGGGAAAGACCUCGACGCUAAAAUGGGGCAGUUUAGUGCCAAGGUAGUGGCAUUGGCAAUAUAAUGUUUCCAUGACUUAGGUGAGCGGGCUGACACCUAAGGAACUUGUGGGCAGACUUGAUCAAGUAGAGGCGACUUGACAUGAGCGGGCUAAGUACCUAGGGAGGGAAAUUAGCAAAGAUAUAGGCAUAGGGUUGUCUAUGUCAAGGCUUGAGCAUGGCAAAAUAUGUGUCAUUGCCUUGCCAAACGAGUGGGCAGCACGAGACGCCUUAGGCAGAGGCUUUUAUAGGGCAGAAUCGUGCAAGUGUUGGCUAUUUUUGUGAGUUGGUGUCUGCCAAGGGUGGCAGCACCUUGCCAAACUCGAGAAUUUCCUUUAUAAUUGAUUUAUUAUAAAAGAUUGGGAAAGAUUUCCUGUAAAUCUGUAUGCCUUCAUUUAUUUUAUGCUGCCUUGAAUUUAUUCUAAGUGUUAAACCUCAAAAGCGAAAGAAAAUCGGGCAAGGCUGAAGUCAAGUGGGGACUUGACUGCCGCAUAGCGGGCAGUAUUUUCGGCGGACAGAAAACACCCGUGUGACAAUUGGUAUCAGAGCGGAGCAGGUUUGGUUCGUGACGAGGUCAAGACGGCCAUGCACAAGAUCACAAGACAGUGGGUCAGCGUGCUUGUUCGUGGAAGGGGACUGUCUUGGCUUAGAAAUUCAGAAAAGGCAAAGAAGGCAGUGAUGCAGAAAUUUUGAGUUUGUGGGUGCCAAAAAUCAGUGUGAGUUCUUUCAAAUCAAGUUAGUUGCGUGCUGGAUUUGCUGUGGGAAUUACGGACAGGAAAAGCAAAUGAGAAAAAAUGUUGCACUUGAGGGCAAGGACAACGUAAUUCUCAAACGGGUGCUGAACUUGUGAUGUCUUUGCAAAUGAUGAGCAUGUGUUGGGAUUUAUUCAACGAGGGAGUCGAAUUCAACUGGUUGGGGUGGUUUGUUAGACCCUUGACAAAGCUGAUCGGCAAGCUGUACGACAGUGGCGAGGAUUUGGCAUGAUGGCCUUGCCAUUGGCCUAUGUGGGGGGGGGGGGGGAUAGGGAGGACACAUAUAGAGCAUAUGGUGNNNNNNNNNNNNNNNNNNNNNNNNNGGAGUGGCAGUGAGUGCUGCAGGGCGCUAUUUAAGGGCUAUGGUAUGACGGACUACACCAAAACAUGAGUGGGUUGCGUGCAAGCAAAGGCCAAGACCUUGACAGAACUAGGCAGGUUGGACAGAAGCUUGACAAGGAAAACGGGAAAGACCUCGGCGCUAAAAUGGGGAAGUUUAGUGCCAAGGCAUUGGCAUUGGCAAUAUGAUGUUGCCAUGACUUAGGUGAGCGGGCUGGCACCUAAGGAACUUGUGGGCAGACUUGAUCAAGUAGAGGCGAAUUGACAUGAGCGGGCUAAGUACCUAGGGAGGGAAAUUAGCAAAGAUAUAGGCAUAGGGUUGUCUAUGUCAAGGCUUGAGCAUGGCAAAAUAUGUGCCAUUGCCUUGUCAAACGAGUGGGCAGCACGAGACGCCUUAGGCAGGGGCUUUUAUAGGGAAGAAUCGUGCAAUUGUCGGC